GCUCAGUUGGUAAAGCACAAGGCUCUAAACCUUGUGGACGUGGAUUCAAGUCCCAU
rnacentral:tRNA from 1 species